rnacentral:rRNA from 1 species
GAUGAACGCUGGCGGCGUGCUUAACACAUGCAAGUCGAACGAAGCAUUUAGAACGGAUUACUUCGGUUUGAAGUUCUUUAUGACUGAGUGGCGGACGGGUGAGUAACGCGUGGGUAACCUGCCUUGUACUGGGGGAUAGCAGCUGGAAACGGCUGGUAAUACCGCAUAAGCGCACAAUGUUGCAUGACAUGGUGUGAAAAACUCCGGUGGAAUAAGAUGGACCCCCGUCUGAUUAGCUAGUUGGUGAGAUAACAGCCCACCAAGGCGACGAUCAGUAGCCGACCUGAGAGGGUGACCGGCCACAUUGGGACUGAGACACGGCCCAGACUCCUACGGGAGGCAGCAGUGGGGAAUAUUGCACAAUGGAGGAAACUCUGAUGCAGCGACGCCGCGUGAGUGAAGAAGUAAUUCGUUAUGUAAAGCUCUAUCAGCAGGGAAGAUAGUGACGGUACCUGACUAAGAAGCUCCGGCUAAAUACGUGCCAGCCGCCGCCGUAA